rnacentral:rRNA from 1 species
GACGAACGCUGGCGGCGUGCCUAAUACAUGCAAGUCGAACGCAGAGGGGACGGGUGAGUAACAAGUGGGUAAACUACCAUCAGAGGGGAUAACACUUGGAAACAGGUGCUAAACCGAUACGGAGGGAUGGACCCGCGGUGCAUUAGCUAGUUGGUGAGGGAACGGCUCACCAAGGCCACGAUGCAUAGCCGACCUGAGAGGGGGAUCGGCCACACGUGAACUGAGAAACGGCCCAGCCUCCUACGGUAGGCAGCAGUAGGGAAUCUGCGGCAAUGGACGAAAGUCUGACCGAGCAACGCCGCGUGAGUGAAGAAGGUUUUCGGAUCGUAAAACUCUGUUGUUAGAGAAGCGGUAUCUAACCAGAAAGCCACGGCUAACUACGUGCCAGCAGCCGCGGUAAUUC